GGCGUGGCGGUGUUUGGCAUGGACGCAUUUGAUUCUCCUUUCUGGCUCACUCUUCAACGAGUAUAAGUGCCGUUGGCUUGCGGUGUUCUUGCCGGUGUUGGUGCUCUGCGGCUUUGCCGGCACAGUUUCACUUGCAGUUAAGUAAGAAUAAGGGCUGUGCUGCGCCGCUGUGGCUACUACUUGCUGUGGCUGGGGGGGCCUGUGUUCCUAUCCUUCCUGCGGGGGAGACUGUUGUGCUGUAUGCUGGUAGGUAUACGCCCUGUUAAUUUGUAAGCUGGACAGUAUUUUGCGUUGACCAUUUUAGCUGCUGUUGUGUGUUUUGCAGGUCUUCUGGCCAGAACUGUUUGCUGGUGUCUCCAGCUCUCUGUGGUGCUGCUGUUUUGUCUGGAAUUUACGUUUGGGAUUCAGAUUCCUGCUGUAUUGCCAUGGGUUGGCUUAGGACUGUUUUUGUUUCUUUAAUUUUGGUUUAUUUUAUGUUUGUUUAGUAAUAUUGUCCUUUUCUAAUUUGUUUCUCUGUCUGUUUGUUUAUUUGUUUUUUUUGUGAUUUUUACUUUGUUCUAAUUUGGCUCUUGGGCUGUAGUGUUGAUUUGUUAUAUGUGUGUGUGUGUGUGUGUGUGUGUGUGUGUGUGUUUUAUGAGGGUUAUUGGACGGUGUUGUAUGAGGGGGUAAGGACAGUGGCACUUAUUAGCCAAUGCUGUUAGCCUUCCUCCUCAAACCCUGGUGUAACUAUUUUUUUGUUUUUUUCUUCUGGUUGGACAGGAGCAGUGGGCCAAAGCGGGAGGCAGACUGAUUUGGGUGGCGGAGUCCCUUUUUCACCUUCCCUGUAGUAUAGAGCACUUUGUGUGGCGUUGAGGGUCCAGUAGGGGGCUUGUGUCCUGACCUGUCUUGGGAGGGAGAUUUUAAAUAAUCCUUAAUAAACUUUGAAAGAACAUUGGC